rnacentral:rRNA from 1 species
GAAUCUAGCUUCAGGUCUGGGACAACCACUGGAAACGGUGGCUAAUACCGGAUGUGCCGAAAGGUGAAAGAUUAAUCGCCUGAAGAUGAGCUCGCGUCUGAUUAGCUAGUAGGUGGGGUAAGAGCCUACCUAGGCGACGAUCAGUAACUGGUCUGAGAGGAUGACCAGUCACACUGGGACUGAGACACGGCCCAGACUCCUACGGGAGGCAGCAGUGGGGAAUUUUCCGCAAUGGGCGAAAGCCUGACGGAGCAAUACCGCGUGAGGGAGGAAGGCUCUUGGGUCGUAAACCUCUUUUCUCAGGGAAGAACACAAUGACGGUACCUGAGGAAUCAGCAUCGGCUAACUCCGUGCCAGCAGCCGCGGUAAUACGGAGGAUGCAAGCGUUAUCCGGAAUGAUUGGGCGUAAAGCGUCCGCAGGUGGCUGUGUGUGUCUGCUGUUAAAGAGCAAAGCUCAACUUUGUAAAAGCAGUGGAAACUACACAGCUAGAGUGCGUUCGGGGCAGAGGGAAUUCCUGGUGUAGCGGUGAAAUGCGUAGAUAUCAGGAAGAACACCGGUGGCGAAAGCGCUCUGCUAGGCCGCAACU